rnacentral:rRNA from 1 species
UCCUAGACAUUGUAUCGCUUAUAAUUAUAAUUAUACAUGCUAGCCUCCACGCACCAGUGAGAAAGCCCACACCAGGAGCCGGUAUCAGGCACACCUAACUACUGGUAGCCUAAAACGCCUAGCCCCGCCACACCCCCACCGGGACCCAGCAGUAAUAAACACUAAACAAUAGGCCCUUAACACUUGAUUUGGUAAUAAUUAUACCCAUAGGGCCGGUAAACCCCGUGCCAGCCACCGCGGUUAUACGAGGGGCCCGAAACAAUACACUUCGGCGUAAAAUGUGACUAAGGCAUACUUUUUAUGAGGGUCGUAAGAGCCAAAUUUAUAGUUGUAAAAUACACAAUGAAUUAGGUAAUCCUUAAUCCACCCACUACCAAAUCACCCUGAACCCACGAAAGCUAGGACCCAAACUAGGAUUAGAUACCCUACUAUGCCUAACCGUAAAACAUGAUGUAACAACACCCGCCAGAGAAUUACACGCAACCGCUUUAAACUCAAAAGACUUGACAGUAUCUCAUACACCUAGAGGAGCCUGUCCUAUAACCGAUAACCCACGAUCAACCUUACCCUCCCUUGCACAAACCAGCCUAUAUACCUCCGUCGCCAAUACGCCUGUUAACAGUUACAUAGCGUAUACAAUAGUCUACCACUAACACGACAGGUCAAGGUGUAGCUAAUGGGCGGGACAGCGAUGGGCUACAUUUUCUUCACUAGAAAACACCUAACAUGAAUGAAACUCCACAUAAAGGCGGAUUUAGCAGUAAGCAGCAGCAAGGAAAGCUCACCUGAAACCUCACAUGAGAUGUGUACACACCGCCCGUCACCCUCCUCAAAACACAUUAAACG